UACGUAGGGGGCAAGCGUUGUCCGGAAUCAUUGGGCGUAAAGAGCGUGUAGGCGGUCCGGUAAGUCGGCUGUGAAAGUCCAGGGCUCAACCCUGGGAUGCCGGUCGAUACUGCCGGACUAGAGUUCGGAAGAGGCGAGUGGAAUCCCCGGUGUAGCGGUGAAAUGCGCAGAUAUCGGGAGGAACACCUAUGGCGAAGGCAGCUCGCUGGGACGUUACUGACGCUGAGACGCGAAAGCGUGGGGAGCAAACAGG
rnacentral:rRNA from 1 species